GGUAAAUUAAUUAAAGGUAAAAUAAAAAAAUAAUAAUUAAACUCAACAUUUUAAUGUGCCAAAGGCAUUGUGCAAUAUUUAAACAUAUAUCUCAUAUUUGUGCCCAAUAUCUCGACAUGACAUGUCUGCAGUAUGGAGAAGGAUGAACGUGAUCCAAUGGGACCGGCGCCGGACUCAGCAGCUGAUAGUUGCCGUGGUGAUCCUGUGUCUGGUCCUCUACUUCCUCCUCCCCACAGGCAGCACACGCAGAUCUCCAUAUGCACCAACAUAUAAAGUACGUCACAAACUCUCCCACUGGCACACAGAAAUCCAGAAGAACGACACGCUGUUCAAACUUGUCACUGAACAGAAAUUCCUACACCCGGACUCGAGUGCCGCAUUUAAGCAGUAUUUCAGGCCUCAGGUCAGUUUGAAUAAACUUGACCUAAAGAAAGAUGCAGACCUAAAGGAUUUUAACAUUGAUGUUGACGUGAUAGUGUAUCUUCACAUACAGAAGGUUGGGGGCACAACGUUUAACAAUCAUCUUAUCAAUGACCUUGACAAGGGCUUCAAUUGCGGCUGCACAAAAGAUGUUAUUACCAAUCCUUGCCUCUGCAAGAACAAGAAUGGUUACAUUUGGUUGUUCAGCUGGUUCACAGUUGGCUGGCCGUGUGGGCUGCAUGCUGAUUGGACGAUGCUACACGAGUGUAUAGACACGGCCAUGAAUGAUCUUGAAGAACAGACCAGGAAACGCAGGUAUUUCUACAUCACGUUGCUAAGAGACCCUGUGUCACGGUACCUGAGCGAGUGGCAGCAUCAGAGACUUGGCCAACACUGGGAAGACGCCAAACUGCAAUGUGGCGGGAAACGGGUCGAGCUCUUUGACAUCCGCCCGUGCUUCUACGACACCUGGCAUGGUGUAUCGCUUGACGAGUUCAUGGAAUGCAGGGACAAUCUGGCAUUGAAUCGACAGACGCGCAUGAUUGCAGAUUUGACGAAGAGCAACUGCUACUAUAGGCGGGGCAUCACUCCAGAGAAAAGGGCCGAGGCUCAGUUGGAGAGUGCAAAACAGAAUCUGCUACAAAUGCCGUUCUUUGGACUCACAGAGCGACAGACGGAGACACAACAUCUGUUUGAGAAGACGUUCGGUCGGAAGUUCAAAACGAGCUUCACGUAUUUGAAUGAUGCUGAGGAAGAGGAUAUGAUCUCGGAGGACGAAUUCAUGCACUUGAUGCAGCACAUUGAGCUGGACAUGCAGCUGUAUCUGUACGCGGCGGAACUCUUUAAGGAAAAAUUGAGGACUGUGAUUUAACCCUUUACCUUAUAGAUACAUAUUUUUACACAUGUGUAGUCACUUAGAAAGUUAAUUUUAACUUAAGACCUUUCUUACUAGAUUGGAGUUUUAAAGGCUUCAUUUCCAACCCUUAGAUACUGAUGAGUAGCAAUCAGCAUAAAACUUGAACAGACUGUGAGUUACUCGCAGGCUGUUCUGGUUUUAUGCUGUUUGCACAUAGCUAUUUUCACUUUGAUUCUGAGAUUGAAAGGAUUAACAUGUUGUAUCAUUUGUGUAUCAUUUGGUGCCUGUUUGUCUGUGUUUGGAGGUGCAGUGAUUGAAAGAAGCUCAAAUCCAUGUACACCAUGUGCUGGUAAACUUAAACUGAGAUUGCUCUGUAUUGACAUGUGCUGGCAAAGUGAACAUGUUUUUAAAUAAUUACAACGUACAAGGGCUUCAUUGGUAGAACUGCAAUUUUUGUAAACUUGGGUAACAGGAACAGGUUAAACUUGCUGAAAGGUGAUAGCAUUCCUGUACAAAACCUAUGGCAUGGGCAGUUUGAAAUUACUGCAUUGUAAGUUUAUUAUCAGUUUGACAUUGCUGCUUUGAACGUUUAUUAUCAGUUUGAAAUUGCUGCAUUGUACGUUUAUUAUCAGUUUGACAUUGCUGCAUUGUAAGUUUGAGCAGUUUGAGACAUUGAUGUUGAUUGAUGAAAUACAAUAGUCUGUCAGUAUGUGCAUUAUGAAAACUAAUGUCAGCUAUCUAAAUAGACAUAGUAUGAACUUAUAAAGUAUUAUUCAUAUCUACCUAAAGAGGUUUGCAGGUGAAUAUACAUGUGUUUAAUAUUGUGCAAAUACCUGUAUAUAUGUAUGUGUAUAAAAGCACAACGGAAAUAUGUACUACACAUGGAUUUAUAAACUGUAUACACUUAUUUGUUUUACACAUAAAUUCGCAAAACACUACUUUACAAACAUUUCAGCCGUAGAUAAGGAAAUAACAUAUAACUUUUGUUUUAAAUUAUUUAUAUUCAAGAAUUUAUGUUCAACCUUGAUUUUCAAAAUCAGGAUAUAUCCGGAAUUUAAAAAAAGCAUUGUUACAAAUCAUACCUUAAUCUGUAAAUAUUUACUUUAUGAGGAAACUGUGGACCGACCCUGGGGGAUAUGACUGGUCCAAUUUUGGGAUGUCCAUUAUUUUCCCUUUGCUAAAGUCAAUAAUGUUUGCUUAAAUCCCUACAGUAAGAGACGUCGUGGAUAGGUGCAUAGCAGGGGUUGAAAAUCAAUCAACUGUAAAGUUAAUUUUCUGUUUGUGGGUUAACUGUUUAUGCACACUGUCUCUUGCUUCAAUAUAAUACUUGUAUUGCUUCACACAACCAGUAUAAUUAGUUAUACUCUGUGACUGAGUUGGUAAGCAGUUAUUUUAAAUACACAAAACACUGUAUUAUGUGAAUUUGGAAUAAAAUAUCAAGGUUACUUUGGACACCAUUUCGAUAAUUAUCUCAGACAACUGUGUAUUCCAUUUUAUCUAUGUAUGUUUGUUCCCUUUUGUAUAAUCGAUAAGAAUAAUGAGGACUUGAAUUUUUCACUAAAAAAUAUUGUGUUUUUGAUAAUGUUCACUGUAUUUUUUAAUUUUGUUCAUUAAUGAUUUGAUAUGGUAUCAUUUAGGAGUUAAAAUAAAGUCCAUACCAAGAUACUGUUUGGUAGUAAAAUCAAUUUACAUAAUACUGUUAUGUGUGAGGGUGUCUUCUUGUCGUGUACUUUGUCAUUAUAAAAAUAUACUGCAUAUGAAAUAUUGUUGUAAAAAAGUUUAUUUUAAGAUUGA